rnacentral:lncRNA from 1 species
UUAUAGUCCUCCUGCCUCAGCCUCCUGGUGCUGCAGCAAUGCCAGACACGCACCUCUACAGUUGGUGGAGUAUUUACUUAAUACGGUUUCCCUGCUCCUGCUCUCUAAAUCAUCUGAUUAUUUAACCAAGGUGGACCUGAGAUCUACACGCAUCAGCUACCCCAGGACCCCAGGUGACUGAUGUGCUGGGAGGUGCAGAGGAAGAAAGACCUUGAGUCCAAUGCACAGAGCUCCCUUCCGGGAUCUGGAAGGAUUUUGACCCUCAUUGGACACCAUCCUCAGAUGUCUGGGGCAGUGGCUGUUUUGAGACAGUGCUGUCAGAAACACGAGGGCCAAGAUGUCAUGUGACUACUCACUGUGCUUCUCCUGCUUCCAGUAUUCACACAGAAGAAGUUUCUAGAAGCUUCACAGGCUUGCCAAAUGAAGACAGGCCCGGUGUCUAGAAAUAUACCAAGAGCUGUGCACGGCAUGGUGCCGGCUCAGAUCUUGUUUUCUGCAGAGAACAUUAACAGCUGUCUCUCAGCGGUGACAUUCACAGUUGCCAAGUGACAACUCAGGAGUCUAACCAAAUUUAUCAAUAUUUUUGUCUCUCGCCUCCCACCUCACCCCACCAGAGAAAUUGCACUAACAGAACCAUGUAGAUUAUAAGUAAAGCAGCAGAUUUAUUCCUGUUUCCUUCUUAGAAGGGAAAUGGUUACCUCAGAGUUCAGAAUUGUAUUGUGUCCUCCCAGGUGGGUCUGGAGCUCAGGGUUUGCUUUUGGUUGGUUCCAAAAUCUGAAUUAUGUGGUUUUGCCUAAUAACCCUGGAAUGGAACAGGCAGUUUUUUUUUUUUUAUCAGCUUCGAACCCCCCUGAUGCUAAUGUAUUAUUU